UUCCCAGACUGUGAGACACGGCGUGUAUUUCCUGGGAAGGACUUUUGACACUGGCGGAGUACUGGCUUCAGGCAGUAUAAAUUGCUGCAAGUUAUACGUUAGAUAUUUCAUGGAGGAGAAAUGCCGAAAACGCGUUCAGAACUGCAUGUUCAAAAACAAAGUUGCUGGAAAAGCUCAGAUAUUUAUUGAGAAUAAUUUGCAGACCAGGAUCACAAAGCAAGUUCUCCAUUAAGCGGAGUGAUCAGGAUCUGAGUAUCAUUGACACUUAACUGGGAAAGGGAAGAGGUUUAACCAUUCUAUGCGUGGGAGAAUACUCCUGAUAUUAGAUGGGGAACAUGUACAAGUGGAAAACUCAAAUAUCACAUCAGGAUCUGACAGUGAUGCUUGAUUCCUGGAAACAGAAAGCACCCCAUUCACAGAGUGAAGAAACUGCAGCACGUUGUGGAUGUGGAUGUGGAUGAGGCUACAGUUGAUCAUCUGGAUUGCGAAAACACAAGCAGAGUCACA